AUGUAGGAGCCAGAGCGUUACAGUUACAAAUGUUUAUUCUACAUAAAAAUUCCACAAAAUGGGAAGCUGUUUGCACCCAAAGCUUUGGGAGAAGAAGGGGGAGGCUAGCAAGGAGAGAAAGGGUGAAGGAGAGAAGAGGCAACAUACAGUGUCAUCCAGCCCAGUGAGACAGAGCAAGCCGGGGUCAAGAUCCACAUAGAAAACAAGGACACUUAGCUCACAGUACAGCAACGGUACAACUCCACGGGGGGCUUGGAAAGCCUUCAAGUACAUUAAUUACAAAAAAAAAAAAAUCCCCAGUUCGAGUGCAAGCUGUGCGUGCCCCACACUGCUCGUGGAAUACUGCAUCAAGACACGCUCCCGGCGCUGGGAGGGCGGGUGGCACUUGGAACAGAGGCGGUUGCGGGGAGGGGGCAGUCUGGAACGAAAAGAGUGAAAUGUUUCUCCAAAGCACAACCACAUUGUUGGUGAUCCGGUCUGUACAUGCAGUGGGCAGGUAAAAAGGAACCGAAUGGGGCUUCCCAUAGUGCAGGGGUAUUUAUUGCAC